UACAGAGGGGGCAAGCGUUGUUCGGAAUUACUGGGCGUAAAGGGCGCGUAGGCGGCCCGCUAAGUCGAACGUGAAAUCCCCAGGCUUAACCUGGGAACUGCGUCCGAUACUGGCAGGCUUGAAUCCGGGAGAGGGAUGUGGAAUUCCAGGUGUAGCGGUGAAAUGCGUAGAUAUCUGGAGGAACACCGGUGGCGAAGGCGGCAUCCUGGACCGGCAUUGACGCUGAGGCGCGAAAGCGUGGGGAGCAAACGGG
rnacentral:rRNA from 1 species